rnacentral:piRNA from 1 species
UGAUGCUACAUAGACCCUUGAAAGAGACAGU